UACGAAGGGGGCUAGCGUUGUUCGGAAUUACUGGGCGUAAAGCGCGCGCAGGCGGUCCUUCAAGUCAGAGGUGAAAGCCCAGAGCUCAACUCUGGAAUGGCCUUUGAGACUAGAGGACUUGGGUACGGGAGAGGUGAGUGGAAUUCCGAGUGUAGAGGUGAAAUUCGUAGAUAUCAGGAGGAACACCUGUGGCGAAAGCGGCGCACUGGACCACAACUGACGCUGAGGCGCGAAAGCUAGGGGAGCAAACAGG
rnacentral:rRNA from 1 species